CCUACGGGAGACAGCAGUGAGGAAUAUUGGUCAAUGGGCUUACGCCUGAACCAGCCAAGUCGCGUGAGGGAAGACUGCCCUAUGGGUUGUAAACCUCUUUUGUCAGGGAGCAACGCCGGCUACGUGUAGCCGGACUGAGAGUACCUGAAGAAAAAGCAUCGGCUAACUCCGUGCCAGCAGCCGCGGUCAUACGGAGGAUGCGAGCGUUAUCCGGAUUUAUGGGGUUUAAAGGGUGCGUAGGCGGAAUGCCAAGUCAGCGGUAAAAUCGCGGGGCUCAACCUCGCUCCGCCGUUGAAACUGGCGUUCUUGAGUGGGCGAGAAGUAUGCGGAAUGCGUGGUGUAGCGGUGAAAUGCAUAGAUAUCACGCAGAACUCCGAUUGCGAAGGCAGCAUACCGGCGCCCAACUGACGCUGAAGCACGAAAGCGUGGGUAUCGAACAGGAUUAGAUACCCGGGUAGUC
rnacentral:rRNA from 1 species